CAGCCGCCGCGGUAAUACGAAGGGUGCAAGCGUUAAUCGGAAUUACUGGGCGUAAAGCGUGCGUAGGCGUUUUGUUAAGUCUGCUGUGAAAUCCCCGGGCUCAACCUGGGAAUGGCAGUGGAUACUGGCAAGCUAGAGUGUGUCAGAGGAUGGUGGAAUUCCCGGUGUAGCGGUGAAAUUCGUAGAUAUUCGGAAGAACACCAGUGGCGAAGGCGGCUCACUGGCUCAUACUGGACGCUGAGGUGCGAAAGCGUGGGGAGCAAACAGGAUUAGAUACCCCAGUAGUCCCUGUCUCUUAUAC
rnacentral:rRNA from 1 species